UACGUAGGGGGCAAGCGUUGUCCGGAAUCAUUGGGCGUAAAGAGCGUGUAGGCGGCCCGGUCAGUCCGCCGUGAAAGUCCAGGGCUCAACCCUGGAAUGCCGGUGGAUACUGCCGGGCUGGAGUCCGGAAGAGGCGAGUGGAAUUCCUGGUGUAGCGGUGAAAUGCGCAGAUAUCAGGAGGAACACCAAUGGCGAAGGCAGCUCGCUGGGACGGUACUGACGCUGAGGCGCGAAAGCGUGGGGAGCGAACAGG
rnacentral:rRNA from 1 species